GGGAUUUUGUGGGAGGAUUCGAGGUUUGCUUGUCUUUGCCCAAGGACAAAAUGGAGGCUUUUCAUGCUUAUUUUGCCAAGGGAAUUAAUUAACCUUAAUAGUAUGUGUGUGUUUCUUAAUUUGUAUGAAAUUUUUUUCACUCAAAAAAAAAAUUGUAUGAAAUUUUAUAGUAUUUUGUUACAUAUGUAAUACGGUGGAGUAAGAUGGAGGCUGUGUUUGUGAUAGUACUUCGGGCCCUAAUGGUUUCUCCUCUCUUUUUAUUAGCACUGCUGGGACUUUGUGGGAGUGACGUGAUUGCUACGGUCCAGGAUUUUUUCCUGGCAAUUUCAUGCCCCGAAGCUUUACUGCUACUACUAUCGUCUUGCUCUCUAAGAAGACGAACCCGGAGACUUGGGACUGACUAUCGUCCUAUUAGCCUUUGUAACACCCCAAUUGGAGAGCCAAUCCANAGCAAACAUGGCGAGUGCCUGCCGGUUUUUGAUCGAUCCUUGAUUAAUUACCCUCUGAAAUUGGACGCGAUUUACUGGAAAAAUGCUCAGAGAAUCCCCUUGCAGUCGCGCCACCCUUCCCUACCGACGAACCGUGUUCGAUCGACCUACACUUUCACCCAAUCGGAGAUUAAGAAACUGAAGAACUCGAUUCAGGAAAGGAUUCCAAAUUUAGCUCACCUCUCAUCUUUCGUCGCGAUCGCAGCUUAUAUCUGGACUAUCAUGGCGAAAUCACUCAGAUCUGAAGCAGACAACGACGGCGACGGCGACGCGUUUUUCUUAAUUCCGAUCGAUUUACGGCCGCGUUUGGAUCCGGCGGUUCCGGGGAACUACUUCGGCAACUGCCUGUCCUUCGCGCUGCCGAGGAUCGGGCGGCGGGAGCUGGCCGGAGAGGAGGGGCUGUUUCUGGCGGCGGAGGCGGCGGCGGCGGCGAUAGAGGAAAGGACGGGCGACAAGAAGAUUCUAGAGAGUGUGGAGAAAUGGUCGGGCGAGAUCCGCCAGGCGUUGCAGGAGUCGUUCUUCUCGGUAGCCGGGUCGACCCGGCUGGAUCUAUACGGGGCGGAUUUCGGGUGGGGCAGGGCGAGGAAGCAGGAGAUAUUGUCGAUUGAUGGGGAGAAAUAUGCGAUGACGCUUUGCAAAUCAAGGGAUUUUGUGGGAGGAUUCGAGGUUUGCUUGUCUUUGCCCAAGGACAAAAUGGAGGCUUUUCAUGCUUAUUUUGCCAAGGGAAUUAAUUAACCUUAAUAGUAUGUGUGUGUUUCUUAAUUUGUAUGAAAUUUUUUUCACUAAAAAAAAAAAAAAAAUUGUAUGAAAUUUUAUAGUAUUUUGUUACAUAUGUAAUACGGUGGAGUAAGAUGGAGGCUGUGUUUGUGAUAGUACUUCGGGCCCUAAUGGUUUCUCCUCUCUUUUUUAUUAGCACUGCUGGGACUUUGUGGGGAGUGACCUGAUUGCUACGGUCCAGGAUUUUUUCUCUGGCAAUUUCAUGCCCCGAAGCUUUACUGCUACUACUAUCGUCUUGCUCUCUAAGAAGACGAACCCGGAGACUUGGGCUGACUAUCGUCCUAUUAGCCUUUGUAACACCCCAUAUUGGAGAGCCAAUCCAUUGACCCUU
rnacentral:lncRNA from 1 species